GCCAAGCUGACCCUGAAGUUCAUCUGAUGAGACUCCGAAUUCGGAGUCGAAACACGGUAACCGUGUC
rnacentral:misc_RNA from 1 species